rnacentral:rRNA from 1 species
UUUGAUCCUGGCUCAGGACGAACGCUGGCGGCGUGCUUAACACAUGCAAGUCGAACGGUGACGAGGAGCUUGCUCCUCUGAUCAGUGGCGAACGGGUGAGUAACACGUGAGCAACCUGCCCCAGACUCUGGGAUAACAGUUGGAAACAGCUGCUAAUACCGGAUACGAGACGGAGAGGCAUCUCUACCGUCUGGAAAGUUUUUCGGUCUGGGAUGGACUCGCGGCCUAUCAGCUAGUUGGUGAGGUAAUGGCUCACCAAGGCGACGACGGGUAGCCGGCCUGAGAGGGCGACCGGCCACACUGGGACUGAGACACGGCCCAGACUCCUACGGGAGGCAGCAGUGGGCGCCUGAUCCAGCCAUGCCGCGUGUGUGAAGAAGGCCCUCGGGUUGUAAAGCACUUUAAGCGAGGAGGAAGGUCAUCAUGCUAAUAUUAUGAUGAAUUGACGUUACUCGCAGAAUAAGCACCGGCUAACUCUGUGCCAGCAGCCG